ACUGCUCAGUAACACGUCGUUAAUCUGCCCUUGGAUUGGAGAUAACCUUGGGAAACUGAGGAUAAUAUCCAAUAGGAGAUUGAUUCUGGAACGAACAAUCUCAAAAAGUUCACGCGUCCAAGGAUGAGACGGCGGCGGAUUAGGUUGUUGGCGGGGUAACGGCCCACCAAGCCAGAGAUCCGUAGGGGCCUUGACAGAGGGAGCCCCGAGAAGGACCCUGAGAUACUGGUCCUAGCCCUACGGGGUGCAGCAGGCGCGUAACCUUUACAAUGCACGAAAGUGUGAUGAGGGAAUCCCUAGUGCUUAUGGAAACAUAAGCUUUUGGCAAGGGUAGGAACCUUGUCGAAUAAGCAGUGGGUAAGACCGGUGCCAGCCGCCGCGGUAACCCCGGCGCUGCAAGUGGCGAUCAGCAUUACUGGGCCUAAAGCGUUCGUAGCCGGUUUUGUAAAUUCUUUGUGAAAUCGUCAGGCUUAACCUGACGGCGUGCAGAGGAGACUGCAUUACUUGAGAUCGGGAGGCGUUAGAGGUAUUUUGGAGGGAGCGGUAAAAUGCUAUAAUCUCUAAAAGACCACCUGUGGCGAAGGCGUCUAACGAGAACGAUUCUGACGGUGAGGAACGAAGGCCAGGGGAGCAAAAGGGAUUAGAUACCCCUGUAGUCCUGGCAGUAAACUCUGUGGGUUAGGUGUGGGUUGUCCUUUGAGGACAUUCCGCAUCGUAGCGAAGGCGUUAAACCCACCGCCUGGGGAGUACGGUCGCAAGGCUGAAACUUAAAGGAAUUGGCGGGGGAGCAC
rnacentral:rRNA from 1 species